rnacentral:lncRNA from 1 species
UGCAGAUAUCUGCCGUUUGGGAGACAGUGGGUAGCAUUUGCCAAAAUAUAAAAUGGUGUUGCUGACCCCAAUUCUGGGAGAUGGUACUUGAAUCUUACUGUGCUCUGAGACUUCUUUCCAUAGGCCACAAAAAGUCCCCAUCUGUGAGCUCAGCCAUCCUCAGGAGAUAGGAGGGGCCAUGAGAAGCUCAAGUUCACCAUGAGCCACAGCAGUAAGCCAUGCUUUAGCCUCUGACCUGUGCUCCAAUUUUGGUACAAUGAUUUCUGCCAUGUUCUCCAACAGGGUGAGGAAACAGACAGCACUAAGAGAAAAAGCUGGAACUCAAAACCAAAUUAACUCCAAACUUAAGUUUUCCCACUUCGACAAGAAAAGGAACUGCAUGUGUUUUUCUGCCUCUUGCAGAUGUAUGUCAUAAAAGUUGGAUGCCUUCCUUUCAAGACAUUUGAAUGGAUCACCAAAUAAUUACCUACUUUUCUCUCACAACUCAGAUAAAUAAUUAAAAGGAGAUAUACACAGAUUGGUUGCAUACUUAAGAGUGAGAA